rnacentral:lncRNA from 1 species
GUCAGUUCUGACAUCAAGUGGUUCCAGAUCCCUCUCGAUCGCAGUUGCGGGGAUCAAAUUAUGGUCCUCCCUACCAAAUUCAGCCUCAAUCACCACUGAACCAACUGGCGAUUGCUUUAAUUUUAAAACAUAUUCAUACUAAUGUUGGGUUAGGAUUUUAGGGCUCCCUCAAGAAUGUAUAUCAUCUUCUUCUUCUUUUUUUUAAACGUCAAAGUAGUUAGUUGUUAAUAUUAGUAUUUUAUUCCUUUACCGAGACUUGAACUCGGAACCUUUUAAACCCUUAUUAUGUUCUUAUCGUCUCUCCC